UCAAAUGGGAGCUUAGCUCCCUCAAACCAAGCCAUAUACCCAGUCCAUUCAAUAUCACAUGCAUCAUAAGAAGUUUACAAAUUUUCAAAAUAAAAGAGACAUAAUCUUUUACAGCUCAAAUUAAAUUAAAUAACCCCUACACAUGCGAAGUUUUAAAACUUCCCUUAAUUACAUAAAUUAUACAAAAUGAACAUAAGUGGACCUCUGUGGAAAGGAAUAGGUCAUUUACAAUAAGGCUCUCCUGUAUACUGGAAAAAUAGUGAAUAGGAGUGAGCGUUCAACUCAGAGA
rnacentral:misc_RNA from 1 species